CUCCUCAUGCUGGGGAGAGAGAUCCGCACCCCUGCGGAGAUGGCGUUUGGUCGGCCCCUGGAUAGCCCUCAUGUUCCCACGGGGCCGAAGUAUGCCUGGAGACUCCAGGACCGCCUGAAGACAGCCCACACCUUCGCCAGAGAGCAGCUGGUGAAUGCAGGUGUGAGGCAGAAAAGGAACUAUGACGUGCACACCCGGGGAAAGCACUUUGUGGCUGGGGAGCUGGUCUGGGUCUACAGCCCCCUGAGGAAAAAAGGCAGAUGCCCCAAGUUGGACAGCCACUGGGUGGCUUCCCUGUAGCUCAGUUGGUUAAGCAUGGUGUUUGCAACACCAGGGUUGUGGGUUCGAUUCCCACGGGGGGCCAGCACAGGGGAAAAAAAAAAAAAAAACAUGUAUGAAAUGAAGUGUAUGUAUUCACUACUGUAAGUCGCUCUGGAUAAGAGCGUCUACUAAAUGACUAAAAUGUAAAUGUAAAAAUGGGUGGGACCCUGCAGCAUCCUGGAGAGGGUAGGGGAGGUUGUUUACCGGGUGCAGCUUCCUCCUAGGGGGAGAAAGGUGGCACUGCACCCUGGACAGGUUAGCCCCAUACAGAGGGGCCUCUUCUCCCCAAACCCCAGGGACCCCCACAAUUCCCCUCUCUGGCAAUGACAUUCCCCAAGCACCCACCCCCAGGCGCCGCAGACAAGGCUCCAGACAACACAGUCUCCCUCCCUGUGUCACCGUGUGGUUCCCCGGAGCCACGGACUGUAUUCCCCGUUCCCGCAUCCUUGUCCCCCAUAUCCCUGCCUUCAUCCCCUGGGUCCCAGAGGGGCAGCUCCCUGCCACGGAUGGAGCCCCCUGUUUCACAUCUGGACACUCUGCGACAAUCACGGCCACGAAGGCAAAGGAGACCUCCAGGUCGCUUCAGAGACUUUGUUUGUUCCCUCGGGGAUGAGGGACUUUGUGGUGGGGGGCUGUGUAGUGACCCGUGUGUUAUGUGUUAGGCUAUUAGUUGGUUGUGUUGUACUACCCAGUAUUCGCGGGGUCCGACAUGCCAAUCAACCUGCUAUCUGCCAAUCAUGGGAAUGCCUGGAAUGUUCUGAUGCCGAGGAGUGGCGUGGACAAUUGUUCCUUUAUGAUCUAGUCCGGUCAUUACAAUACUUUAAUAUAAAAUGUAAAAGUCACCCAGUAGAAUACUACUUGAGUAAAAGUCUAAAAGUAUUUGGUUUUAAAUAUACUUAAGUAAAAAAGUAAAUGUAAUUGCUAAAAUAUAUUUAAGUAUCAAAAAUGUCAAAUUACUUAUAUUAAGCAAACCAGGCGGCAUAAUUUAAUUUAUUUAUCAAUAGCCAGAGAGACACUCCAACACUCAGACAUAAUUUACAAACCAAGCAUUUGUGUUUAGUGAGUCUGCCAGAUCAGAGGCAGUAGGGAGGACAAGGGUUGUAUUCUUGAUAAGUGCGUGAAUGGGACCAUUUUCCUAUCUUGCUAAGCAUUCAAAAUGUAACAAGUACUUUUGGGUGUCAGGGAAAAUGUAAAGAGUAAAAAGUACACUAUUUUCUUUAGGGAUGUGGUGAAGUAAAAGUAAAAUUUGUCAAAUAAAUAGUAAAGUACAGCUACCACCAAAAAAUGACUUAAUGUAGUACUUUAAAGUAUUUUAGGCAGGCUAGCUAAGCUGUACUGUCUUUGCUAAAAAUGUUAUCUAGCCUGCCUCGCUAGCUAAAGUUAGAUAACCUGCCUUGCUUUAUCAAAAGAUAGCUACCUACAUAACAUUUUGCUGGUUAUCUAAUGUCGUUAGCUAAAUUACACAAGAAAGGUCAUUAUAUUCCAGUAUCUCUGGUUAUACCCACCACCACACCAAGUUAACGUUACUGGUGCAGACUUUGGGACCAACGAACACCAAUCACCUAUUCCGCAAACUAAGGUCCUUCCGCAGGGCAUUCAAAACAUGUAACUUUGGUUGUGGAGACAUGGUCAAUCAAUAGGAAGGUCUGCCUUCCUUUGAAUGCAUUGGGGGCGAUGACACAACAGAGCCCCAUUCAAUGAAGGGAAAUGGAGGGGCGAUUUGAAGAUGGGAGUUUGGCAAUAUGAUUUGUUAACAUACUUAGUAAUCCAAGCCUUACUUUAAUUUACUCAUUGUAAUGCACUGAGGUUCCAAACUUUGUUUUAGACAAGACUAAAAUUGUCCUACUUACACUUUGUAGUGAAUUUUGACACUAGAAUACAUGUAUCUGACUCAUAUCGAUGCCACAUCAAAGGGAUUAGUUGCUUUUCAGCAGCAUCUACUCUUUAAGCAAAAUAUUGCAAAUUGCAACAGUUUUGACACUCUUCAAGUUGUUCUUCUCCCUCAGUGUUGCCAGAAUAUAAAUGUGCAGGCUAUACCUGAAGAUAAUUUAUUUGCCAUUUUAAAGCAUGCUGACUGAUAACAAUAGAAAACCCGAAGAAUGACAAAUCAAUCAAAAUGGUUGCUUUUAUUUCAUUGUAAAUAAGUUUAACAUUUUAUUUUUACCCAAAAAUAUUUUAGUAACUUUUUUGCAGUCUACAUUCCAAAAAUAAUGAUAACUAUGAUAAAUGUAAGGAUUAUGUUUGACUGCUGCAAUGAAAAGCAUUUAGCUGUAUUACAGAAAACAGGACUUUGGGACUGAGGAAAGUAGUUUAAUUACAUGUGAUCUAUGGCGUUCAAGCACAAAACAAGUAGUGCUGUGUGUGUACACUGAUGUCUAUGGUUGUACAUGUAGAAUGGUUUUGAUUUUAUGGUGUAUAAUUUACCUAUACAAUUCUCCUGAUAGUUGUUGUAUCCCAAUUUUGUCCUGUUUCUAAUGUUUUACAAAAUGCACCAUAGAGUCUGAGGGUGAAAUUAAACCAGCGGAGGCUGCUGAGGGGAGGAUGGCUCAUAAUAAUGGCCAGGACGGAGCAAAUGGAAUGGCAUCAGACACCUGGAAACCAUGUGUUUGAUGUAUUUGAUACCAUUCCACUGAUCCCGCUCCAGUCAUUACCACGAGUCCGUCCUCCCCAAUUAAGGUGCCACCAACCACCUGUGAACGAGGCCCUCUUCAUUCAAUGUUCUGUAAUUCCAUUACAGACCAAGGCACAUGGUUGCUACAGAGUAAAUACAGAGUCCAAAGACAAAUUAACAUCAAAAUAUGAAAUGAUAUGACUGAUUAGACUUAUAAUAAGAGAAGAAAACGCUAACAUUUACUCAUUUUUCAAACUAUAAAUUUCUAUUGCUGCUUUUCUAUUUUUCAACCAGAGUAACUAAUACUGAGUACGUAAGAGCAUGGCAUCUCAUAAACAAGUGAGUCACAAGUAAAACAGUAUCUAAUAAAUUCACAACAAGUAAUCUAGGAAAGCAAAAGUUCUGCUACUUUUGUUUGGCAUAUCUUAAAGAAAAGAGAAGACAGCUGGGUUACAAAGUAAUGCAUCAAUAGUUAAACUCAGUGAUCUGAUGCGUUGAUUUCAACAUUGAGGUGUCAGACUAGCCUGAUUGCCAUGUUUGUUGGCGCUGUCAUGCCAACUCCUCGUCACUCAUUGUCAGGCUACGUUCAGACAGUCAUUACAAUACAAUAAGAGCAAUCAUUCAAGCAAGUCCAUUUCAAUUUCAACAAUUAACAAAGCAUUAAUACACUAUAGGACUAUAGCAGUUAAGCAGUUGCACAAAGGCUAUUAUAGGCAUAAUAAUACAAAUGUAUAUAAUGUCAAUAGGAGAUGCCAUUGAAAAUAAACAUAUGUAGAUAUCCAAGGAGCCCGUUUCUCUCAAUACAUUUUCUAGAUAGACAGUCUGCUAAUGAGCUCCUAUUAACGGCUCACAAUAGAAAGCAAUACACAAUUUGGCUUUCAACAUCACUGCAAAAUGUCUACAAUUCCAGUAGUUUAGUAUGAUAUACAUGUUUAUCUUUGAUUCCAAAAUGUUUGCCAUUAGGAUGACAACCUUGCAUCAAAACCUGAAGUUAUGGUUUCAUCAGCAGCUAUGGUAAAUGCAGAGAUAAUGUAGAGAUAAUGUAGUGAUGAUAAUACAUUUAGAUCAUUCAGAACCUGAUACGUGAGUUAAAAGUUUCAGUCCAUUUUUCUGUCAAAAAAAAAUAUCAACCAAAGAAAACACAACAACAUAUGGACUUCCCUGUAUAACAGAAAUGCACAUUAGUACACACUCUAUUCUAUUAGUAAAAACACUAUCCUGUAAAUACAUUCUAAAGGGAUCUGAUCUUCAAAUUACACAUUUUCAUUGCCUUCAUUCUUUUGUUUCAGACAAGAAGGCCACCCGCACUAUAGGGCACAGGAGAAUUGUCUGACGUGUCAAAAAGCCUCAGAAACAAUUCAGUCAAUCAAAACCUGUCCAUGUUUUACGCAGUAUACAGAGUGCCAUAGGUUUGUUGGCUCGUUCACACAAUGGCAGCAAUAAGCCAAUGAUGUGGUAUUGUUUUUAAUAGAUCUGACCGAUACAGAUCAACACUCACCUAAUGAAUAUACCAACUGGGUACAGGCGUCUCACCUAAUGAAUAUACCAACUGGGUACAGGCGUCUCACCUAAUGAAUAUACCAACUGGGUACAGGCGUCUCACCUAAUGAAUAUACCAACUGGGGUACAGGUGUCUCACCUAAGGAAUGUAGGCAAGAUGUCACAUUUGGAAUAUCAGAUACGUAACACUUAAAAAUGCUCACUUGCAAAAUAUCACCACAUGCAAGUUGAAAGUGAAGGUGAACCAUGAAUUAGGUAUGGAUGGUAUUGUGGAUAUGUUCAAUAACAUAAACAUAGUCAGACGGCAUUUUUGUUCACUAAUUUGAACAUUCAACCAACCAAGUUGGAAAAUAAAUUUAAACAGUGCAUGAACAAAUAAAAUACGUAGAAAUGUAACAAUUAUAGCUAACGUUACAAAUAUGUUUUGUUGUUGUUCGUUUUAAUAUGAAUCCAAAUUCAUUAAUAAGAAGACACUCAUUACAUGAAAUAUUUAGCCUUCGUUGUUCAGUAGAGCAUCUCACCACUUCCUUGACCUUCUUUGACACUUUACGGUUUCAUAAUAAUAAUCACUUUUGAAGCCAUCUCAUGAUGCACAAGGUGCAUAGUUUCUAGCAUAGUGCCCCUGAGAAUGGAAUGAUACCUGAAUAAUGUAGAUACAUCUUUAGGACACAUCUUUAGGACACAUCUUUAGGGCACAUCUUUAGGACACAUCUUUAGGACACAUCUUUAGGGCACACACCUAGGGCUGGUUUCCCAGAUACAGAUUAAGGGUUCACUUUAGCCAACAUCCUAAUAGCAGUUGUUUUGACGGUGUUGAGGGUGGAACUGCAUUAGAGCUGUCAAUCAAUCAAAUAUAUUUAUAAAGCCUUUUUUUUUUUUUUACAAAAUGUUGAAUAACAGGUAUCAAACAGUUUAUAUUGUAUAGAAUGUUUGAAACAGCUGGUCAAAUUGGCCAUGUACUGUAUGUCAACACUUUGGGAAGAUUAGCCUCACCUUGUGGGUUAACAAGGACUUUGGGAAGAUUAGCCCCACCUUGUGGGUUAACAGGGACUUCGGGAAGAUUAGCCCCACCUUGUGAGUUAACAGGGACUUCGGGAAGAUUAGCCCCACCUUGUGGGUUAACAGGGACUUUGGGAAGAUUAGCCCCACCUUGUGGGUUAACAAGGACUUCGGGAAGAUUAGCCCCACCUUGUGGGUUAACAAGGACUUUGGGAAGAUUAGCCUCACCUUGUGGGUUAACAAGGACUUUGGGAAGAUUAGCCCCACCUUGUGGGUUAACAGGGACUUCGGGAAGAUUAGCCCCACCUUGUGAGUUAACAGGGACUUCGGGAAGAUUAGCCCCACCUUGUGGGUUAACAGGGACUUUGGGAAGAUUAGCCCCACCUUGUGGGUUAACAAGGACUUUGGGAAGAUUAGCCCCACCUUGUGAGUUAACAGGGACUUCGGGAAGAUUAGCCCCACCUUGUGAGUUAACAGGGACUUUGGGAAGAUUAGCCUCACCUUGUGGGUUAACAAGGACUUUGGGAAGAUUAGCCCCACCUUGUGGGUUAACAAGGACUUUGGGAAGAUUAGCCCCACCUUGUGAGUUAACAGGGACUUUGGGAAGAUUAGCCCCACCUUGUGAGUUAACAGGGACUUUGGGAAGAUUAGCCUCACUUUGUGGGUUGAACCAGAUCCAAAUAAACCAAGUAACAAAACAAAACAACGGAGACAUAUCAAAGUAGUCUAACUAGUGCCACAAUGAUUUACAACGAUCCAGCCCUGAACAGCAACUCACACUGAUAUAUAUGAUAUACAGAUGUAGGAUCGUAAUUUUAUCACUGUUUUGUUUCUGAGAAUUGCAAACUUGCUGUGUUUUUUGACUUUUAAAAACCCUACAAAAAUGUCCAUUAAUUAUAAUCCACAUAAUUCACAUUUCCUAUUGAAGCAGGAUUAUUUUACUGCUGUAGCAAACUGGUUCAUAUUAAGAUCCUACAUCUGUCUCUCCAUAAAGCCUUCCCAUUCCCUCCUCAAGACUUGUCAAUAACGGGAGUCAAGGCAACGUAGCUGCAGCCAUUUUUUUCGUCAGCCUCCUUGUUGCUCACAGGGGAAUAAGAUGUGUCUUCCUUUGUUGACUUCUAUAGAUGAAGACAGCGGAGGGAUGGAGAGAAUGGAGGAUGGAGUAGAGAGCAAGAGUGGAGUGAGAGAGUAGAGUGAGAGAGAGUAGAGUGAGAGAGAGAGUGGAGAGAGAGAGGUGGAGUGAGAGAGCGAGAGAGAGGAGAGAGUGGAGUGAGAAAGAGAGAGAGUGGAGUGAGAGAGAGUGGAGGGAGAGAGAGUUAAGGGAGAAAGAGUGGAGGGAGAGAAAGAGAGAGUGGCAAAAGAGAGAGAGUGGAGAGAGAAAGAGAGUGGAGAAAGGGAGAGAUAUUGGAGGGAGAGAGAGAGAGAGUGGAGGGAGAAAGAGUGGAGGGAGAAAGAGAGGAGGGAGAAAGAGAGUGGAGAGAGAGAGUGGAGGGAGAGAGAUAGUGGAGGGAGGGAGAAAGAGUGGAGGGAGAGAGAGAGAGUGGAGGGACAGAGAGAGUGGAGAGAGAGAGCGAGUAGAGGGAUGGAGACAGUGGAGGGAUGGAGAGAGUAGAGGGAGGGAGUGGAGGGAGAGAGAGUGGAGGGAGAGAGAGAGUGGAGGGAGAGAGAGAGUGGAGGGAGAGAGAGAGUGGAGGGAGAAAGAGUGGAAUGAGAAAGAGUGGAGGGAGGAAGAGUGAAGGGACAGAGAGAGUGGAGAGAGAGAAAGAGUGGAGGGAGAAAGAUUGAAGGGACAGAGAGAGUGGAGAGAGAGAGUAGAGGGAGGGAGACAGUGGUGAGUAGAGGGAGGGAGUGGAGGGAGAGAGUAGAGAGAGAGAGAGAGAGAGGGGAGAGGUAGUGGAGGGAGAGAGUGGAGGGAGAGAGUAGAGAAAGAGAGAGGGGAGAGAUAGUGGAGUGAGAGAGAGAUGAGAGAGUGGAGGGAUGGAGAGAGUGGAGGGAGAUAGCAGAGAGAGAGAGGGGAUAGUGGAGGGAGAGAGAGAGUGGAGGGAGAGAGAGAGUGGAGGGAGAGAGAGAGUGGAGGGAGAAAGAGUGGAAUGAGAAAGAGUGGAGGGAGAAAGAGUGAAGGGACAGAGAGAGUGGAGAGAGAGAGUAGAGGGAGGGAGACAGUGGUGAGUAGAGGGAGGGAGUGGAGGGAGAGAGUAGAGAGAGAGAGAGAGAGAGAGAGAGGGGAGAGGUAGUGGAGGGAGAGAGUGGAGGGAGAGAGUAGAGAAAGAGAGAGGGGAGAGAUAGUGGAGUGAGAGAGAGAUGAGAGAGUGGAGGGAUGGAGAGAGUGGAGGGAGAUAGCAGAGAGAGAGAGGGGAUAGUGGAGGGAGGUAGAGAGUGGAGGGAGAGAGGGGUGGAGACAGUGGAGGGAAGUAGAGAGUGGACGGAGAGAGGGAGGGAGACAGUGGAGGGAGGUAGAGAGUGGACGGAGAGAGGGAGAGAGACAGUGGAGGGAGGUAGAGAGUGAGGUAGAGAGUGGAGGGAAACAGUGGAGGGAGGUAGAGAGUGGACGGAGAGAGGGGUGGAGACAGUGGAGGGAGGUAGAGAGUGGAGGGAGAGAGGGAGGGAGACAGUGGAGGGAGAGAGGGAGGGAGACAGAUGGGAGAGAGGUAGAGAGUGGUUAGUUAUAGUACCAAUCUAGCGAACAAAACAUUGAAUAAAAUUGCUUGUCAGGAUCAUAAUCCUUCAGAUACAGUGUUUGUUGUACAGCCAUGCAUGUCCAAUCAGCAGGGACAUGUUGGACUGUAUAAAGGAACAGUCGGACACAGAUUAUGUUUAGGAGAAUUUCCAUUGAGCAUGUUUUUUUUCUUCAGGACUAGGCUUAAUCUGUUCUGGGGAAACCGUCCCAUAGAAUUUAGCUUCAGGAGAAACCGUCUCAUAGAAUUUAGCUUCAGGAGAAACUGUCCCAUAGAAUUUAGCUUCAGGAGAAACUGUCCCAUAGAAUUUAGCUUCAGGAGAAACCGUCCCAUAGAAUUUAGCUUCAGGAGAAACCGCCCCAUAGAAUUUAGCUUUCAGGGGUUAACUGUCCCAUAGAAUUUAGCUUUCAGGGGUUAACUGUCCCAUAGAAUUUAGCUUUCAGGAGAGAUGUUAAUCUGAUUGUUAACAUAUCAAACUGUGUUAUUAAAAAUGGUGCAUACUUGUCAUAACAUUACAGGCCAUAACAUUUCAGAGAGGAUUAUGAUCAAAAUUGGCUGAUUUAAGAAGUCAGACAAGGUAAGAAAGUAAAGAUAUUAUAGUGACAAAUGUAAAUGAUAAAAGGGAAAAUUAUGAACGAUUAUUAAAAACCUCUGUUGGGGCUACAGGUUAGCAAUGAACCCCGAGUCGGGAUUGCUAACAAGGCUGGAAAUUCAAAACAUCAAAAAUCUAAUAAUUUCAAUUUCUCAAACAAUCAACUAUUUUACACAAUUUAAAAGAUAAACAUCUCCUUAAUCUAACCACAUUGUUCGAUUUUCAAAGAGGCUUUACGGCAAAAGCAUAAAGUUAGAUUAUGUUAGGACAGUACAUAGCCACAAAAGUACAAACAUCCAUUUUCAAUUCAAGGUCAGGCGUCACCAAAAGCAGAAACCAGCUAGAAUUAUGCACUAACCUUUGUCAAUCUCCAUCAGAUGACACUCCUAGGACAUUAUGUUAUACAAUACAUGCAUUUUUUGUUCCAUCAAGUUCAUAUUUAUAUCCAAAAACAGCAUUUUACAGUAGCGUGAAAUUCAGAUUUUUUCUUCUCUGAAAUGCUUCCGGUGAACAUAACAAAAUUACUAUUCGAAAACAUUGGUAAAUUAUAAUAUUGUCAUUCAAAGAAUAAUAUAUUAUCAUCUCGUAAUUGCUACCGAAUGGCCAGAUCUCAAAAUAACUUUACUGGGAAAUCACAUUUUGCAAUAAACGGGGUGCUAUGCUAAGAACAAUAAGCUAUGCUAUACAGUUAGCAUCAUCUAAUAUCGAUAAUAACAUUGUAAAUAUCCCCUUACCUUUGAUUAUCUCCAUCAGAAGGCACUGCCAGGAUUUCCCAGGUCCGGAACAAAUGUGGUUUCUUUUGACAAAGUUCAUAAUUUAUGUCCAAAUAACAACAAGUAGUUAGCGUUCAUUAUGCUCCCACAAAACGUGGUGGGGGGGG
rnacentral:tRNA from 1 species